GACGGACGCUGGCGGCGUGCCUAACACAUGCAAGUCGAACGGAAAACAUAGCAAUAUGUUUUUAGUGGCGAACGGGUGAGUAACGCGUAGACAACCAGCCUUUUUGUGGGGGACAACACUUCGAAAGGAGUGCUAAUACCGCAUACGCUCCAGAUGCCGCCUGGUGUUUGGAGGAAAGGAGCUGUAAGGCUUCGCAAAAAGACGGGUCUGCGUCUGAUUAGCUAGUUGGAGGGGUAACGGCCCACCAAGGCGACGAUCAGUAGCCGGUCUGAGAGGAUGGACGGCCGCACUGGGACUGAGACACGGCCCAGACUCCUACGGGAGGCAGCAGUGGGGAAUCUUCCGCAAUGGACAAAAGUCUGACGGAGCGACGCCGCGUAAGUGAUGAAGGCCCUUGGGUCGUAAAGCUCUGUCAUCAGGGACGAACGGUCACGUCAGGAAAUGGGCGUGAAUUGACGGUACCUGAGAAGGAAGCCACGGCUAACUACGUGCCAGCCGCCGCGGUA
rnacentral:rRNA from 1 species